CCACCUCUUCCAGUACCAGAUGUCUGCUGAGGGGGUUCCCAUUGACAUCUAGGCCCGGAAAUCGUAGAAUUCCACAAAUCCUAUUCCUAGUUCUUCCUUUGCAGUGAAAAUGCAAUCCUCAACUGUCUCCUCUUUUGGGGAGAAGAUAGGGUAUAAAUAACUGUAAUGAAUAAAUGGAUGAACACAAGUCUGUGUUUUUAAUAUUUUACAAUAUAAACAAAAUACUGUAACACUGAUUUUUGCAGGUUGUGAAUCCUGUAAAAUCUCCUGCUGCUGUGACCAUCGGUGUGAGCACAGUUGCCAUAGUGCUGCUAUUGAUAACUAUUGCUGGAUUGUCCUAUUUCUACCUCAAAAGAACAAACCAAAGAUUCCAGUUUCGCUAUUUCAAGGCUGAACUAGAGGAUGAAGAGCCUUCUUCCUGGGAAGAAAGGAGCCCAAACUUGGUCUCUAUUCCAAACCCCAUUUACGGAGCAGACAGCUCCAUCUAUGACCCAUUUGAGGAUUCUCUGCAUAGAGAUGAUUUUUCCGAUACCCAUGGGAUUCUUGGACAUUAUUGAGCCACGUAAGCAGGAAAACAUCUUCGUUGUAUAG
rnacentral:lncRNA from 1 species